rnacentral:rRNA from 1 species
AUUGAACGCUGGCGGCAUGCUUUACACAUGCAAGUCGAACGGUAACAGGUUAAGCUGACGAGUGGCGAACAGGUGAGUAAUGCAUCGGAACGUGCCCGAUCGUGGGGGAUAACGCAGCGAAAGCUGCGCUAAUACCGCAUACGAUCUGAGGAUGAAAGCGGGGGACCGUAAGGCCUCGCGCGAUCGGAGCGGCCCAUGUCAGAUUAGGUAGUUGGUGGGGUAAAGGAUCACCAAGCCAACGAUCUGUGGCUGGUCGGAGAGGACGACCAGCCACACUGGGACUGAGACACGGCCCAGACUCCUACGGGAGGCAGCAGUGGGGAAUUUGGGACAAGGGGCGAAAGCCUGAUCCAGCAAUGCCGCGUGCAGGAAGAAGGCCUUCGGGUUGUAAACUGCUUUUGUACGGAGCGAAAAGGCCCUCUCUAAUACAGUGGGCUCAUGACGGUACCGUAAGAAUAAGCACCGGCUAACUACGUGCCAGCAGCCGCCGUAA